CUAGUGAAAUCCGAAACUCACCUCUCCUCACACCGACUGCUUGCUGCUGCGUUGUCGUCUCCUCGCCUCCAAGAUAGUAUACCGUAUCAUAAUUGACUAUAUGGAUUAAAUGAAGAGGAGGAGCCAUUUAGAACAAUGUAGCAUUUCAUUACUGUCUCCCAUCAUAGAUUCACUUCACAAGGAUUUUCUUGGACUAGUUGAGAAGUUUCUCUCUCUCUCUCUCUCUCUAGCAUAUAUGUCAUCCAGUUAACUGUUGGUGAUGUUGUCAUGGUGAGCAUUGUUUUUCAUCCCAAGUUUGUUCUCUCGUAGUACAUCAGUGAGAGUCCAAGCAAAUUUGUUGAACUCUUUUCCAAGAGAACUCUAUUUUUUGUUA